UUAAGCGACUAAGCGUACACGGUGGAUGCCCUGGCAGUCAGAGGCGAUGAAGGACGUGCUAAUCUGCGAUAAGCGUCGGUAAGGUGAUAUGAACCGUUAUAACCGGCGAUUUCCGAAUGGGGAAACCCAGUGUGUUUCGACACACUAUCAUUAACUGAAUCCAUAGGUUAAUGAGGCGAACCGGGGGAACUGAAACAUCUAAGUACCCCGAGGAAAAGAAAUCAACCGAGAUUCCCCCAGUAGCGGCGAGCGAACGGGGAGGAGCCCAGAGCCUGAAUCAGUGUGUGUGUUAGUGGAAGCGUCUGGAAAGGCGCGCGAUACAGGGUGACAGCCCCGUACACAAAAAUGCACAUGCUGUGAGCUCGAUGAGUAGGGCGGGACACGUGGUAUCCUGUCUGAAUAUGGGGGGACCAUCCUCCAAGGCUAAAUACUCCUGACUGACCGAUAGUGAACCAGUACCGUGAGGGAAAGGCGAAAAGAACCCCGGCGAGGGGAGUGAAAAAGAACCUGAAACCGUGUACGUACAAGCAGUGGGAGCCUCUUUUAUGGGGUGACUGCGUACCUUUUGUAUAAUGGGUCAGCGACUUAUAUUCUGUAGCAAGGUUAACCGAAUAGGGGAGCCGAAGGGAAACCGAGUCUUAACUGGGCGUUAAGUUGCAGGGUAUAGACCCGAAACCCGGUGAUCUAGCCAUGGGCAGGUUGAAGGUUGGGUAACACUAACUGGAGGACCGAACCGACUAAUGUUGAAAAAUUAGCGGAUGACUUGUGGCUGGGGGUGAAAGGCCAAUCAAACCGGGAGAUAGCUGGUUCUCCCCGAAAGCUAUUUAGGUAGCGCCUCGUGAAUUCAUCUCCGGGGGUAGAGCACUGUUUCGGCAAGGGGGUCAUCCCGACUUACCAACCCGAUGCAAACUGCGAAUACCGGAGAAUGUUAUCACGGGAGACACACGGCGGGUGCUAACGUCCGUCGUGAAGAGGGAAACAACCCAGACCGCCAGCUAAGGUCCCAAAGUCAUGGUUAAGUGGGAAACGAUGUGGGAAGGCCCAGACAGCCAGGAUGUUGGCUUAGAAGCAGCCAUCAUUUAAAGAAAGCGUAAUAGCUCACUGGUCGAGUCGGCCUGCGCGGAAGAUGUAACGGGGCUAAACCAUGCACCGAAGCUGCGGCAGCGACGCUUAUGCGUUGUUGGGUAGGGGAGCGUUCUGUAAGCCUGUGAAGGUGUGCUGUGAGGCAUGCUGGAGGUAUCAGAAGUGCGAAUGCUGACAUAAGUAACGAUAAAGCGGGUGAAAAGCCCGCUCGCCGGAAGACCAAGGGUUCCUGUCCAACGUUAAUCGGGGCAGGGUGAGUCGACCCCUAAGGCGAGGCCGAAAGGCGUAGUCGAUGGGAAACAGGUUAAUAUUCCUGUACUUGGUGUUACUGCGAAGGGGGGACGGAGAAGGCUAUGUUGGCCGGGCGACGGUUGUCCCGGUUUAAGCGUGUAGGCUGGUUUUCCAGGCAAAUCCGGAAAAUCAAGGCUGAGGCGUGAUGACGAGGCACUACGGUGCUGAAGCAACAAAUGCCCUGCUUCCAGGAAAAGCCUCUAAGCAUCAGGUAACAUCAAAUCGUACCCCAAACCGACACAGGUGGUCAGGUAGAGAAUACCAAGGCGCUUGAGAGAACUCGGGUGAAGGAACUAGGCAAAAUGGUGCCGUAACUUCGGGAGAAGGCACGCUGAUAUGUAGGUGAAGCGACUUGCUCGUGGAGCUGAAAUCAGUCGAAGAUACCAGCUGGCUGCAACUGUUUAUUAAAAACACAGCACUGUGCAAACACGAAAGUGGACGUAUACGGUGUGACGCCUGCCCGGUGCCGGAAGGUUAAUUGAUGGGGUCAGCGCAAGCGAAGCUCUUGAUCGAAGCCCCGGUAAACGGCGGCCGUAACUAUAACGGUCCUAAGGUAGCGAAAUUCCUUGUCGGGUAAGUUCCGACCUGCACGAAUGGCGUAAUGAUGGCCAGGCUGUCUCCACCCGAGACUCAGUGAAAUUGAACUCGCUGUGAAGAUGCAGUGUACCCGCGGCAAGACGGAAAGACCCCGUGAACCUUUACUAUAGCUUGACACUGAACAUUGAGCCUUGAUGUGUAGGAUAGGUGGGAGGCUUUGAAGUGUGGACGCCAGUCUGCAUGGAGCCGACCUUGAAAUACCACCCUUUAAUGUUUGAUGUUCUAACGUUGACCCGUAAUCCGGGUUGCGGACAGUGUCUGGUGGGUAGUUUGACUGGGGCGGUCUCCUCCUAAAGAGUAACGGAGGAGCACGAAGGUUGGCUAAUCCUGGUCGGACAUCAGGAGGUUAGUGCAAUGGCAUAAGCCAGCUUGACUGCGAGCGUGACGGCGCGAGCAGGUGCGAAAGCAGGUCAUAGUGAUCCGGUGGUUCUGAAUGGAAGGGCCAUCGCUCAACGGAUAAAAGGUACUCCGGGGAUAACAGGCUGAUACCGCCCAAGAGUUCAUAUCGACGGCGGUGUUUGGCACCUCGAUGUCGGCUCAUCACAUCCUGGGGCUGAAGUAGGUCCCAAGGGUAUGGCUGUUCGCCAUUUAAAGUGGUACGCGAGCUGGGUUUAGAACGUCGUGAGACAGUUCGGUCCCUAUCUGCCGUGGGCGCUGGAGAACUGAGGGGGGCUGCUCCUAGUACGAGAGGACCGGAGUGGACGCAUCACUGGUGUUCGGGUUGUCAUGCCAAUGGCACUGCCCGGUAGCUAAAUGCGGAAGAGAUAAGUGCUGAAAGCAUCUAAGCACGAAACUUGCCCCGAGAUGAGUUCUCCCUGACCCUUUAAGGGUCCUGAAGGAACGUUGAAGACGACGACGUUGAUAGGCCGGGUGUGUAAGCGCAGCGAUGCGUUGAGCUAACCGGUACUAAUGAACCGUGAGGCUUAACCUU
rnacentral:rRNA from 2 species